GACGAACGCUGGCGGCGUGCUUAACACAUGCAAGUCGAGCGGAAAGGCCCUUCGGGGUACUCGAGCGGCGAACGGGUGAGUAACACGUGAGUAACCUGCCCCAGACUUUGGGAUAACCCUCGGAAACGGGGGCUAAUACCGGAUACGACACAGCUUCGCAUGGGGUCUGUGUGGAAAGUUUUUCGGUUUGGGAUGGGCUCGCGGCCUAUCAGCUUGUUGGUGGGGUGAUGGCCUACCAAGGCGACGACGGGUAGCCGGCCUGAGAGGGCGACCGGCCACACGGGGACUGAGAAACGGCCCAGACUCCUACGGGAGGCAGAAGUGGGGAAUAUUGCACAAUGGGCGGAAGCCUGAUGCAGCGACGCCGCGUGAGGGAUGACGGCCUUCGGGUUGUAAACCUCUUUCAGCAGGGACGAAGCGUAAGUGACGGUACCUGCAGAAGAAGCGCCGGCCAACUACGUG
rnacentral:rRNA from 1 species